AGGGGUAUAGUUCAGUUGGUAGAACGUCGGUCUCCAAAACCGAAUGUCGUAGGUUCGAGUCCUGCUAUCCCUG
rnacentral:tRNA from 2 species